rnacentral:snRNA from 1 species
GUGCUUGUUUCUGUGGUACAUACAAUAAUAUUUGAAUGAUACAGAAAAUAUUAGCAUGGCCCCUGCAUGAGGAUGGCAUACAAAUUCAUGAAGCCUUUCAUGUUUUU